UACAGAGGUCUCAAGCGUUGUUCGGAUUCAUUGGGCGUAAAGGGUGCGUAGGUGGCGCCGUAAGUCGGGUGUGAAAUUUCGGAGCUUAACUCCGAAACUGCAUUCGAUACUGCGGUGCUUGAGGACUGGAGAGGAGACUGGAAUUCAUGGUGUAGCAGUGAAAUGCGUAGAGAUCAUGAGGAAGACCAGUGGCGAAGGCGGGUCCCUGGACAACACCUGACACUGAGGCACGAAAGCUAGGGGAGCAAACAGG
rnacentral:rRNA from 1 species